GCCGGGCGUGGUGGUGCAUGCCUGUAAUCCCAGCUACUUGGUAGGCUGAGGCACGAGAAUCGCUUGAACUCAGGGGACAGAGGCUGCAGUGAGUCAAGAUUGCACCACUGCACUCCAGCCUGGGUGACAAAGUGAGACCCUGUCUCAA
rnacentral:SRP_RNA from 1 species